GAAAUGCGAUACGUAGUGUGAAUUGCAGAAUUCAGUGAACCAUCGAGUCUUUGAACGCAAGUUGCGCCCGAAGCCAUUAGGCCGAGGGCACGCCUGCCUGGGUGUCACACAUCGUU
rnacentral:misc_RNA from 1 species